CGGGACACGUGGUAUCCUGUCUGAAUAUGGGGGGACCAUCCUCCAAGGCUAAAUACUCCUGACUGACCGAUAGUGAACCAGUACCGUGAGGGAAAGGCGAAAAGAACCCCGGCGAGGGGAGUGAAAAAGAACCUGAAACCGUGUACGUACAAGCAGUGGGAGCACGCUUCGGCGUGUGACUGCGUACCUUUUGUAUAAUGGGUCAGCGACUUAUAUUCUGUAGCAAGGUUAACCGAAUAGGGGAGCCGAAGGGAAACCGAGUCUUAACUGGGCGUUAAGUUGCAGGGUAUAGACCCGAAACCCGGUGAUCUAGCCAUGGGCAGGUUGAAGGUUGGGUAACACUAACUGGAGGACCGAACCGACUAAUGUUGAAAAAUUAGCGGAUGACUUGUGGCUGGGGGUGAAAGGCCAAUCAAACCGGGAGAUAGCUGGUUCUCCCCGAAAGCUAUUUAGGUAGCGCCUCGUGAAUUCAUCUCCGGGGGUAGAGCACUGUUUCGGCAAGGGGGUCAUCCCGACUUACCAACCCGAUGCAAACUGCGAAUACCGGAGAAUGUUAUCACGGGAGACACACGGCGGGUGCUAACGUCCGUCGUGAAGAGGGAAACAACCCAGACCGCCAGCUAAGGUCCCAAAGUCAUGGUUAAGUGGGAAACGAUGUGGGAAGGCCCAGACAGCCAGGAUGUUGGCUUAGAAGCAGCCAUCAUUUAAAGAAAGCGUAAUAGCUCACUGGUCGAGUCGGCCUGCGCGGAAGAUGUAACGGGGCUAAACCAUGCACCGAAGCUGCGGCAGCGACACUAUGUGUUGUUGGGUAGGGGAGCGUUCUGUAAGCCUGUGAAGGUGUACUGU
rnacentral:rRNA from 1 species